CUCUAAACCCCUGCAGCUGGUAACUAGGCAAUGGUCUGGAAUGCAGUAAAUAGAAUGGAAAAUGGAAAUUGCAUGGAUUCUUGAUGUCAUACUUAUGCAGAUUCUUACCCAAUUCCAAGGCCUAUGGAGGGUUCUUAAAACAUGCAAGAUUCAUCCUUCCGCUUGAAGGGUUUAAUCUAAAUUAUCUAUGUACAACAGGUUUAUUCCCCUCUAGGCACAAGAAAUAAUUAUCGCUCCUUCUCUCUUGCCAUUUUACACAUGAGGCUGUCCUGUCAAUUCCUCACCUAUCAAGGCUGGACUUGUCAGACCUCCUUAAGAUACCUCCCACCGAUGCUCUGGUGGUCACCCUACCGUUGGGCUCCCUCCUACCAAGGGAUGGAGAAGUCAUACUGAAAGACCCAACUGAUAAAAGGCUUGAACCUGCCCUCUACCAUUCUCAUGAGGCCUCUUCCCUGGUGAUUCGCUCUUCAGCUGCAUCUUCCUUGCUGGCCAGGGCCUCCAUUCUUUGGCUAGAUGACCUCCUCCAUGACCCUCCGGCUGAUCCAAACCGAACAAAUCUUGCUAAAAAUCCAGAAGGCUCAGGCAUUUGUGGCCCAAGCCACAUUGAAUUCCAUUCACUUUGCCUCCUGCUCCUCCACAUUGGCAGUGGUGGCUCACCAUAACUUGUGGCUGAAGCACUGGCAGGUUGAUGCCACUUCAAGAGGAAACCUGGCCUCAGUUCCCUUUGAUGGCACAAAGCUUUUCGGGGAGGAUGCACUGAAAGAUAUACUCAUAGAGACGAAGAACAAAUGCAAGGCCUGCCGCAAGCCUGAGUGGGUGCUGUUGAGAAAGCCAUUUCAGUCCUUUCGUCCCUUUGGAGGACCUUUUCAACCACAGGGCAGGGACUUCAAGCCCCAGCACCCCUUCUGGAACCGACUCCGCAAUUCCAACAGACCAUUCAGCCAGCCAUGCCAAGCCUUCAACAGCCCUUCUAGAGCCACAGAACAAUCUUGACUCCCGGCCUCCAACCCUAGGCAGAUGCAUUUCAGUGCAUUUCCACGCUUGGGAGCUCACCACUAUGGACCAGAGGGUCCUAACAUCCAUAGCAGAAGGUUACAAAAUAGAACUAGAUGCCAACCCACCCAACUGCCUCCUCCCCACCCUGAUGUCUCGCUCACAUUCCAAACACUCAGGCCUACUAGCAGCAAUUUACCAUCUAUUGGAAAUGGGUGUCAUAGAACAAGUACCACCAUCCCAACAAAGCAAAGGCAUCAAUGCUACCUUGUUCACUGUCCCACGAAAGGACGGGUCAUUGAAGGUGGGUCUCCUCAAAUUCCUCAACUGGUCAAGUGAAGGAAGAUCCAGAUGGAAUCUCUCCAAUAAAGCCUACUUACAUGUCCCCAUACAUCAAUCCAGCUGAUGACUACUGCGCUUCAGAUAUGCUGGGGUACAUUACCAAUACAAAGCACUCCCAUUUGGGCUAUCCUCGGCACCCCACAUAUUUACAAAGACUCUAGCACCUGUGGUGGCACACCUCUGGCUGAGGGGCAUACAGAUAUUUGGUGCUAUCCUUCGGCAGCUGUCUGGAAGCAGCAACUCAGGUUGCCAGGUAUUUGCCUGUCCUCCCUGGUGCCGAAAUAGUGUGUCUGCCAUCCUCACCUGCCUAUCAGAGGCAAACAGCAGGCUGGAUUAAAAGGUGCUUGCUGGAUGGUUCUGUUAAAGCUACAUGCAGAAUUACAAUUAACUUUCCAUCCUUCGGUGCAUAUAACUUUUUUGGUGUAUACAUCCCACUAUAUUCGGAUUACAUGGGUACAACAUAGCAUGAUGGGCAAUACUCGGGUACAUUGUCCCUUCCCCUUUUCCCCAGCCCAAAUUUUGAGCAUGUACAGAAGCAACAGUUCAGAAAUGCUGCCUGAGAAAGGCUACAGUAGCAGCUGCCACAGAAUUAAGGAAAGGAACUGCUCCUGCAGCAUCUAAACAAUGCUGCCUCAAAAGAGCAGGCCUGGAGCAGCAAUGGGAAUUUCUGGUACUCUUUAGUCCCCCUCCUGAUGUCCGAUGUCCAUGCUUACAGCAUUUGUCUCUGCAAUCAAAUGCCACAGGUGUGGUCAGAUUAUGCCCAUGUUGGGAAGCCUGGUGUGCUCCAGUCUUCUGAUCAGAGGAAGAAUCUGUUCAUGCUGACCGAUAUGUUGGAACCAAUCUGUCAAUUUGACUCUGCAGACAAACACUCUAAGCACAGGAUGUGAGAGUUUUGAACGUGACCGGGCCAGGGUAGGGCUUGCACUUACACAGAGGGCUACACUCUCAGACUAACCAGAGGCAGAGUGAACAGGCAGCAUGGCUGCAUCUGACCUAAUGGCUUCAGAACAUUAUUGCUGUCCUUACAUAAGAACAGCCCUGCUGGAUCAGGCCCAAGGCCCAUCUAGACCAGCGUCUUGUUUCACACAGUGGCCCACAAGAUGCUGCUGGAAGCCUACAGGCAGGAGUUGAGGGCAUGCCUUCUCUCCUGCUAUUACUCCCCUGCAAAUGGUAUUCAGAGGCAUCCUGUGUCUGAGGCUGGAGGUGGCCUAUAGUCCUUCUUUGUCUUUUGAGAGGUUCUUUCCUUUCUCUAAUAGCUGUGUAUUUUGUGUAUUUUGAUGAUUGUUUUGAUGAUUGGUUGUGAACUGCCUCGAGUUCAAUAUUACAUUGAAAAGGUGGGAAAUAAAUGUGUUAAUAAAAUAAAUGUUGGAAAAAGCAAACCUUAAAA